rnacentral:rRNA from 1 species
UGAGAAAUAUUGGUCAAUGGACGAGAGUCUGAACCAGCCAAGCAGCGUGCAGGAUGACGGCCCUAUGGGUUGUAAACUGCUUUUGUUUGGGAAUAAUCGACAUUACGUGUAAUGUUUUGCAUGUACCAUUCGUAUAAGGACCGGCUAAUUCCGUGCCAGCAGCCGCGGUAAUACGGAAGGUCCAGGCGUUAUCCGGAUUUAUUGGGUUUAAAGGGGGUGUAGGCGGUUGGUUAAGCGUGUUGUGAAAUGUAGAUGCUCAACAUCUGACUUGCAGCGCGAAUUUGCUGACUUGAGUACACAAAACGUAGGCGGAAUUCAUGGUGUAGCGGUGAAAUGCUUAGAUAUCAUGAAGAACUCCGAUUGCGAGGGCAGCUUACGGGAGUGUUACUGGCGCUUAAGCUCGAAAGUGCGGGUAUCGAACAGG